rnacentral:rRNA from 1 species
GAGUGCAGAAGGGGAGAGUGGAAUUCCAUGUGUAGCGGUGAAAUGCGUAGAUAUAUGGAGGAACACCAGUGGCGAAAGCGGCUNUCUGGUCUGUCACUGACGCUGAGGCUNGAAAGCGUGGGUAGCGAACAGGAUUAGAUACCCUGGUAGUCCACGCCGUAAACGAUGAGUGCUAGGUGUUAGGCCCUUUCCGGGGCUUAGUGCCGGAGCUAACGCAAUAAGCACUCCGCCUGGGGAGUACGACCGCAAGGUUGAAACUCAAAGGAAUUGACGGGGGCCCGCACAAGCGGUGGAGCAUGUGGUUUAAUUCGAAGCAACGCGAAGAACCUUACCAGGUCUUGACAUCCCGAUGCUAUUCUUAGAGAUAGGAAGUUACUUCGGUACAUCGGAGACAGGUGGUGCAUGGUUGUCGUCAGCUCGUGUCGUGAGAUGUUGGGUUAAGUCCCGCAACGAGCGCAACCCUUAUUGUUAGUUGCCAUCAUUAAGUUGGGCACUCUAGCGAGACUGCCGGUAAUAAACCGGAGGAAGGUGGGGAUGACGUCAAAUCAUCAUGCCCCUUAUGACCUGGGCUACACACGUGCUACAAUGGUCGGUACAACGAGUUGCGAGCCGGUGACGGCAAGCUAAUCUNUGAAAGCCGAUCUCAGUUCGGAUUGGAGGCUGCAACUCGCCUCCAUGAAGUCGGAAUCGCUAGUAAUCGCGGAUCAGCACGCCGCGGUGAAUACGUUCCCGGGCCUUGUACACACCGCCCNUCACACCACGAGAGUUUGUAACACCNGAA